AUCAGUUGAAAAUCACCUGUGGCUUUGACUCUGCAUGAGUGGACUUGGUGCCUAGAGCCAGCCUGGUCUCAGCUCAGCACCACUCUGGUGGGAGAGAGCUGUGUUUGAAGCCCAGGCACUGAAGCCA